AAAGGGCAGCUCAGAGGCUACUCACUCAGAUGCAGCCACAGAGAGGAGGGGAGAGUUGCUCCAGAGAAAAGGGCAGCCCCAGAUGCUUGUUUGGAGAGAAAGGACCACUGAAAGGUUCUACUUACGGAGGAGUACUUUACAUUCAUCUCAGAUGACUGGAGCACAUAUCAGGAAGACCCAGGAAAGUGCUGACCUUCCCGUUCUUGUGGCUCUUAUCAGACUAUAUGUGAUCCUGCUGAAGAAACAAGACACACAUACACAGACGAAGGAGAGAAGCCACCAUCAGGCCCAA
rnacentral:lncRNA from 1 species